GUCCAGGGUAGCCUAGUGGACAUGGCAUCUGCCCGGUAAGCGGAACACUGUGGGUUCGAUUCCCACCUCGGAGA
rnacentral:tRNA from 1 species